rfam:Fukomys damarensis contig149271, whole genome shotgun sequence.
GGAUGUGAAGGCGAUCAGGCUGUGAAAUCUGUCACCCCGCUGGUUGCCAGGUUGAUUCAGCUCAUUUGGCUGGCCAGGCAAGUGUCCCCUUCCUCCCUCACAGCUCCACAUGUGUUCCUAGUCCCUCCCUAAGUUGAGCGCUCCAACUCAGUUGCAGCUCAGUUGAAUAGGAGAACUAUUCCUACUACAGGAGAAGCAUUUCUUUGGUCAGGGUAUAGAGUGGCUGUGCUCUGCUGCUGGAAUCUCCCAACAAGCUCUCAAGAUAUAUGUACAAAAAGAAAAGUGUAAAAAAUGGGUCAUGGCUGGGCAUUCUUAAUCAACAGUAAGUGUAAUAGUAAAUAUUUUUAUUUAUUGA